rnacentral:rRNA from 1 species
GACGAACGCUGGCGGCGUGCUUAACACAUGCAAGUCGAACGGAAAGGCCCUGCUUUUGUGGGGUGCUCGAGUGGCGAACGGGUGAGUAACACGUGAGUAACCUGCCCUUGACUUGGGAUAACUUCAGGGAACUGGGGCUAAUACCGGAUAGGAGCUCCUGCUGCAUGGGGGGGGUUGGAAAGUUUCGGCGGUUGGGGAUGGACUCGCGGCUUAUCAGCUUGUUGGUGGGGUAGUGGCUUACCAAGGCUUUGACGGGUAGCCGGCCUGAGAGGGUGACCGGCCACAUUGGGACUGAGAUACGGCCCAGACUCCUACGGGAGGCAGCAGUGGGGAAUAUUGCACAAUGGGCGGAAGCCUGAUGCAGCAACGCCGCGUGCGGGAUGACGGCCUUCGGGUUGUAAACCGCUUUCGCCUGUGACGAAGCGUGAGUGACGGUAAUGGGUAAAGAAGCACCGGCUAACUACGUG